rnacentral:sRNA from 1 species
UGUUGUUUUGGUUUUUGAAAUAUAGCUUUAUUACCACACAAAUGUAAAUUCUGUGCUGAGAUGCUUCAGGGAUCGCAUCUGAGAACGAGCCAUGGAUGGUAACUAGAACCUUGGUGUCAGAGGCCGGAAAAUAAGGGCAGAUGGUAAAAAAUAAAAUAGUUUUGCACUUUAAAGCCGUCUCUGCAUUACCCGUGCUGCACUUACAAUUUUCAGAAAACACUUAAUACAAGAGUGUAAGGCUGCAGACCUUAACACAUAGAUUCGAAGUACAAGAAACUUUCCUUAAUGGUUCUCCAAAGGGGUAAAGAGCAGGAACUGUUGGAAUAGACCGUCCAGUUUCACACUCCACCCUACCAUUCUCUGCUGGAACUUAACUUUUCAUCCUCAUUCCCUGCCCUUCAACACUGGGAACAUCCUUACCGAGAUGGCACUGCCUUUAUUCCCGGGAAUACUGCUGGUCUAAAUGGAUCGAGCUGGUACGCAGGUUUGAAGUCUGUAAGGUGAGGAAGAGCAUCAGCCUUGUUCAUAAGCAGUGGAUACUUCACCAGUGAGAACAUUCCAGAUUGAAAAGCCUGAGAGUUCCCAGAUGGCCCCCUGGAAACCUACAUGUCUGCGAGCCUGUGCAGGAGAAACAACUCUGCCUGUCUGAGCUUUGAAAAGUAGGAGUCACACAUAUUCUGUGAUGUAGAAGAACAUGUGCUCCAUUCUGGCUGCAAGACACUGUGUCAUGGGAUUCACAUCUAGGUAUGAAGACUUGGGAUAGAUGCCGUCCAUCAUGACAGCCACAAGAUGGCAGUAAUUCCUCAUUAAAUGGAGAGUUGCCUUGGCCCUGGAGCACACAGCUGUGACUGACUUCAGUGAGAGUGGGAAUGGGUCUGGAGUUGAGCCUUCCUGGUUGGCCAUUCCCUCAGUCUCUGCUCCACUCUCUGUCCCUGAAUUUCUUGUAGACAGGACAAGAGACGAGCAUGGCUGUCCUAUGAGAAGCUACACCCAGACUCAGAGGAACAAAAAUACCUAGAGCCAAACAGUGAAUGGAGUUUGGGGACUCUUAUGGAAGAGUUGGAGGAAGGA